UACGGGGGGGGCAAGCGUUGUUCGGAAUUACUGGGCGUAAAGGGCUCGUAGGCGGCCAACUAAGUCAGACGUGAAAUCCCUCGGCUUAACCUGGGAACUGCAUUUGUGACUGCAUGGCUAGAGUUUGGCAGAGGGGGGUAGAAUUCCACGUGUAGCAGUGAAAUGCGUAGAUAUGUGGAGGAACACCGAUGGCGAAGGCAGCCCCCUGGGUCAAAACUGACGCUCAUGCACGAAAGCGUGGGGAGCAAACAGG
rnacentral:rRNA from 1 species